rnacentral:rRNA from 1 species
AGAGUUUGAUCCUGGCUCAGAACAAACGCUGGCGGCGUGCCUAACACAUGCAAGUCGUACGAGAAAGUCCGCUUCGGUGGAUGAGUAAAGUGGCGCACGGGUGAGUAACGCGUGGAUAAUCUACCCUUUAGUCUGGAAUAACUUAUCGAAAGGUGAACUAAUACCGGAUAAUAUCCCGAUUUCUUCGGCGAUCGGGAUCAAAGAAGGCCUCUGCUUGCAAGCUUUCACUGAAGGAUGAGUCCGCGUACCAUUAGCUAGUCGGCAGGGUAAUGGCCUACCAAGGUUAUGAUGGUUAGCUGGUCUGAGAGGAUGAUCAGCCACACUGGAACUGAAACACGGUCCAGACUCCUACGGGAGGCAGCAGUGAGGAAUAUUGCGCAAUGGGGGCAACCCUGACGCAGCAACGCCGCGUGAGUGAGGAAGGUUUUCGGAUUGUAAAGCUCUGUCGAGCGGAAAGAAGUGCAUGGUGGUUAAUAUCCAUCAUGCUUGACGGUACCGCUAAAGGAAGCACCGGCUAACUCCGUGCCAGCAGCCGCGGUAAUACGGGGGGUGCAAGCGUUGUUCGGAAUCAUUGGGCGUAAAGCGCGUGUAGGCGGCUGGACAAGUCAGAUGUGAAAGCCCUGGGCUUAACCCAGGAAGUGCAUUUGAAACUGUUCAGCUAGAGUAAGGGAGAGGAAAGUGGAAUUCCUGGUGUAGAGGUGAAAUUCGUAGAUAUCAGGAGGAACACCGGUGGCGAAGGCGACUUUCUGGCCCUAUACUGACGCUGAGACGCGAAAGCGUGGGUAGCAAACAGGAUUAGAUACCCUGGUAGUCCACGCUGUAAACGAUGUUCACUAGGUGUUGGGGGUAUUGACCCUUCCAGUGCCGCAGCUAACGCAUUAAGUGAACCGCCUGGGGAGUACGGCCGCAAGAUUAAAACUCAAAGGAAUUGACGG